AACGAACGCUGGCGGCAUGCCUAAUACAUGCAAGUCGAACGAGAAAGUCUCUUCGGAGGCGAGUACAGUGGCGCACGGGUGAGUAACACGUAGGUGACCUACCGAGUAGUUUGGGACAACGGAGAGAAAUUUCUGCUAAUACCGGAUGAUGAGAGCGAAUUUGGAUUUAGCUCUCGAAAGAUGGCCUCUCCUUGGAAGCUGUCGCUACUUGAAGGGCCUGCGGGCAAUUAGCUUGUUGGUGGGGUAAUGGCCUACCAAGGCUACGAUGGCUAGCCGGUCUGAGAGGAUGAUCGGCCACACUGGAACUGAGACACGGUCCAG
rnacentral:rRNA from 1 species